rnacentral:rRNA from 1 species
UACAUCUAAGUGGAAAACGAUGUGGAGUUACUGUGACAACCAGGAGGUUGGCUUAGAAGCAGCCAUCCUUUAAAGAAAGCGUAACAGCUCACUGGUCUAGUGAUUCUGCGCGGAAAAUAUAACGGGGCUAAGAUGUACACCGAAGCUUUAGAUUCAAUUUUUAAUUGAGUGGUAGGAGAGCGUUCUAUUCAGCGUAGAAGAUGUACCGGUAAGGAGCGUUGGAGCGGAUAGAAGUGAGCAUGCAGGCAUGAGUAGCGAUAAUUGAGGUGAGAAUCCUCAACGCCGAAAACCCAAGGUUUCCUACGCGAUGCUCGUCAUCGUAGGGUUAGUCGGGACCUAAGUCGAGUCCGAAAGGGGUAGACGAUGGCAAAUUGAUUAAUAUUUCAAUACCAACAUAUAAGCGCGAUGUGGGGACGCAUAGAGUUAAUCGAGGUCACUGAUGGAAUAGUGGCUCGAAGGACGUAGGCUGUUAAGUAGGCAAAUCCGCUUAACAUUAGGCCGAGAUCUUACAGGCUCUUGACACUCUUCGGAGGAGAUGGAGAAUCGAUGAUACUGUCGUGCCAAGAAAAGCCACUAAGUUUAUUAUAUGUUGCCCGUACCGUAAACCGACACAGGUGGGUGGGAUGAGUAUUCUAAGGCGCGUGGAAGAACCCUGGUUAAGGAACUCUGCAAACUAGCACCGUAUCUUCGGU